ensembl:miRNA
GGCCUGCCCGACACUCUUUCCCUGUUGCACUACUGUGGGCUACUGGGAAGCAGUGCAAUGAUGAAAGGGCAUCGGUCAGGCC